CUCCCGGAUAAUUUCCUGGUUGCUAAGUCUCGAAGAACGACUGAACAGACCAUUCCUUUGUGCGUCGCCGACGGAGACAGACGUGCAGCUCACAGCGCAGUUUUUUAACGCAUCACACCCUCUCACCAGUCAAAUUGACACCCGCCGACAGGACGAGCAAGCAGAACGGUAUCGCAAUCUACUGCCUGCACAACAGUCUCUCACCAUCAACUAACGUCAAAAGGCGCGAACGCGCGGCACACCGACCAUUUUUCUCACCCACCUCCUGCAUCGUGGUCCCACCUCCCGCCACUGGCCGCGCGGAUGUACGCUGGGCGGCCUACCCACUACGGCGCUCUACCUACUACUCGUCUCCAGCUACUCGCCG